rnacentral:rRNA from 1 species
UACGUAGGGGGCAAGCGUUGUCCGGAUUUAUUGGGCGUAAAGAGCGUGUAGGCGGCCAGACAGGUCCGUUGUGAAAACUCGAGGCUCAACCUCGAGACGCCGAUGGAAACCGUUUGGCUAGAGUCCGGAAGAGGAGAGUGGAAUUCCCGGUGUAGCGGUGAAAUGCGCAGAUAUCGGGAAGAACACCCGUGGCGAAGGCGGUUCUCUGGGACGGUACUGACGCUGAGACGCGAAAGCGUGGGGAGCGAACAGG